rnacentral:rRNA from 1 species
UACGUAGGGUGCGAGCGUUGCCCGGAUUUAUUGGGCGUAAAGGGCGCGUAGGCGGCUCGGCACGUCCGUUGUGAAAUCGCCCGGCUCAACUGGGCGGGGUCAGCGGAUACGGUCGAGCUUGAGCAAGCUAGGGGGCAAUGGAAUUCCCGGUGUAGUGGUGGAAUGCGUAGAGAUCGGGAGAAACACCGGUGGCGAAGGCGGCCAGCUGGCGCUGACCUGACGCUGAGGCGCGAAGGCGUGGGGAGCGAACGGG